CCGAACGGGAGCUCUCACACCGAUUCACACAUCUUCUCUCCCGCGCGCACGCAAGCUCAUUCGAAACAGGCUGCGGCUCGCGUGCCUCUCAGUAGUGGGGGGGGGCCUGUGCACUCAGAGCGGACGGCCGCUGUAUCACCGCAGCCACACUUGGCGAUGUUGGCGGCGCGAACGUAGCCGUGCAGUCAAGAAGAGAGGUGCCAACGUAGGCGUGCGCGCAGGCAUGGACUUUUCACUUACCAUGAGCGCCGCGCCGCACCGGUUGUGGUAUAUCGACGGCGACGUGGUAAAGGUACGAGUGAGCCUUACCUGUGUGCCCGGGGCGGCGUCGGGCACACAAAUGGAAAUGGCGCCGCUGCAACGGGUGCCAAGACACAAUUACUUCUCCGUCGAUUCCACCGAGGCGGAGUCGCGCGAGACGGAUGUGCGUGUGAGACCCCUCGAGGUGGAGCUCCUUGGACUCGUCGAGCUCGACACCAGUGUUGUGAAGCCCAUCAACUGGCCGGCCGCCGUGCCUGAGGAAGAGAUUGCGGUGAGCCCCCGUCUUGGCCGAAGCCGAUCCGCAGUGAUCUACACACUUUACCGCACGGGUAAAAAAACGCUGCAGGAGGACAUGCACUUGAAACGGUACGAGUGCGCUGCCCUAGAGUUCGUCUUUCGCCUUCCGGAGGGGUGCCCGCCGACAUUCAAGGGCCGGGGCACCGACUACCGACAUGAUAUCACCAUAUCCGCCACCUGGUACCCGGUACGAUCGAGCGCCUCUGCGAAGGCGGCCAAACCGCACAUCUGCAAGGUGAAGGUGCCGCUGGUGGUCUUCAACAGCGUCGCCGCUGUAGCCCAGCUGCCCCUUCUGUCGCUCUUCCCCCUCCCCCCUAAUUCAGCGCUCGUGGCCGAGGACUUCCACUUCCAGGCGUCCCCACUUGCCGCAGUGCCCACGCCGUGGUUGGCGGCGCCGCUGAUGGAUGUCAUGCACCCGCAGCAGGCACAGCUGCGCACCUCUCUUACGGUGCGCCAUGAUGCAAAGGCCACAAUGCAGAGCAGCCUGGCUGCCCAACGGCAGCCUCUGUCGCUCAUGAUACCGUGUGGGGGCGUCGACGUGCUUCAAGUCCACCUGCAUUCUUCUUGCGUACCCCUCGGCGAAUACCUGCAGGGCUCCUUAACUGUGCUGCAGACGAGGCAACGGUCCUGCGACAGCGCCGCUGGCCCAGGCGCGCAGCGCAAGCAAGACACGGAAGCUCCGGUGCCAGUGUCCGUCACCGCCACCCUGGAGCUGCUCGAAUGCGUUACGCCGGAGUGCGCGUUGGCGACAAGCGACGCCAGCGUGACGGACGCCAAAGAGCACGGCAUGGAGAACUUUGUCUGCACGCACAGGCGCGUGAUUGAUCACGCGGAGUUCUGUGUUCUCGACACCCCGUGCGUGCCCUUCGAGUUCUCCCUUCCCGUGGGUCUGGUGCCCGCCUCCACCAUUACCGACAUUACUAGCUUUCUGUGGCAGCUCCGCGUGGUGGUGAUGGUCGUGCCGCGCAAGACACUCGCCCGAACUGCCGCACCGGGCGUCGGCCAACUCGGCCCACUCCUAGCGCCCGUCGCCGGUGUCUUCCCUCUACUCGUGAUGCCGCCAUCGGUGCCGUUCAAGGUACGACAGGGUGCUGCGUGCUGAGAAGACAUGGAGACGACAGCGUCCGUGGGGACUCUCCUCCCGUGCUCUCCGCCUUUUGGGUGUGUAUGCGCGUCUGCCUGUCUGUGUGUGUGUGUGUGCGUGUGCGCGCGCUUUUUGACGGCUCCUCUC
rnacentral:misc_RNA from 1 species